rnacentral:sRNA from 1 species
GCCGUGAGGUGUUGGGUUAAGUCCCGCAACGAGCGCAACCCUCGUCCUAUGUUGCCACCGGGUUAUGCCGAGCACUCAUAGGAGACUGCCGGAGAAACUCCGGAGGAAGGAGAGGAUGACGUCAAGUCCGCAUGGCCCUUAAGCCCAGGGCUGCUAACGCGCUACAAUGCGCGGUACAACGGGCUGCGAUCUCGCAAGAGGGAGCCAAUCCCGAAAAGCCGCGCCCAGUUCGGAUCGGGGUCUGCAACCCGACCCCGUGAAGUUGGAGUCGCUAGUAAUGGCAGAUCAGCAUGCUGCCGUGAAUGCGUUCUCGGGCCUUGUACACACCGCCUGUCACACCCCGAAAGUAGGCAACAGAUGAAGCCGGUGGCCCAACCGUAAGGAGGGAGCCGUCCAGUCUGGGGCUUGUGAUUGGGGUGAAGUCAUAACAAGGUAGCCGUACCGGAAGGUGCGGCUGGAUCACCUCCUUUCUAAGGAGCAAUCCCUAGAGCCCUCGUCUUUUUGUUUGGACGGGGGAGACGUAAUGACAGGGUUAGGUAGACGCUUGGUUCUCGGAGCACCCGCACGUGCGGUUCUCAAGGAGCAGAUUUUUUUGUGUCCAGGCUCUUUGACAACCACAUAGCGAGCGUAGGCAUCUUCAUUUGGCCAAGCUAAGAAGGGCACACGGUGGAUGCCUUGGCGUCAGUAGGCGAGGAAGGACGUGACUGGCUGCGAAAAGCCUCGGGGAGCUGCCGAGUAAGCGUUGAUCCGAGGAUGU